CCUACGGGUGGCUGCAGUGAGGAAUAUUGGUCAAUGGGCGUAAGCCUGAACCAGCCAAGCCGCGUGAAGGAUGAAUGCCCUCUGGGCUGUAAACCCCUUUUAUAUGGGAAUAAAACAGGGUAUGUAUACCCUCUCGUAUCUACCAUAUGUAUCAGGAUCGGCGCACUUCGUGCCAGCAGCCGCGGUAAUACGGAGGGUUCGAGCGUUACCCGGAUUUAUUGGGUUUAAAGGGAACGUAGGUGGCUUGUUAAGUCAGUUGUGAAAGUUUGCGGUUCAACCGUAAAAUUGCAGUUGAAACUGGCAGUCUUGAGUACAGUAGAGGUGGGCGGAAUUCGUGGUGUAGCGGUGAAAUGCUUAGAUAUCACGAAGAACUCCGGUGGCGAAGGCAGCUCACUGGACUGCAACUGACACUGAUGCUCGAAAGUGUGGGUAUCAAACAGGAUUAGAUACCCGGGUAGUC
rnacentral:rRNA from 1 species